rnacentral:rRNA from 1 species
GACGAACGCUGGCGGCGUGCUUAACACAUGCAAGUCGAACGAGACAAUUAAAAGCUUGCUUUUAAACGUCGAGUGGCAAACGGGUGAGUAACGCGUAGGCAACCUGCCGCAAAGAUGGGGACAACAGUUCGAAAGGACUGCUAAUACCGAAUGUUCUGGAAAUCCCGCAUGGAAAUUCCAGUAAAGAUGGCCUCUACUUGUAAGCGAUCGCUUUGCGAUGGGUCUGCGUCUGAUUAGCUAGUUGGUAGGGCAACGGCCUACCAAGGCGACGAUCAGUAGCCGGUUGAGAGGAUGAACGGCCACAUUGGGACUGAGACACGGCCCAGACUCCUACGGGAGGCAGCAGUGGGGAAUCUUCCGCAAUGGGCGAAAGCCUGACGGAGCAACGCCGCGUGAGUGAAGAAGGUCUUCGGAUCGUAAAGCUCUGUUGCCGGGGACGAAUGUAGGCAGUGCGAACAGCAUUGUGUAAUGACGUACCCGGCCAGGAGCC